CUUUCUCUUGUCCUCACAACGAAUCUGAACUGAACUCACAGUAUACCUACAAAUCCCAUUUUCUACUUGUGAAGUGAAACCAAGUGCGCUUACCUCGUUUGUGUCAAGAAAAAAAAAAAUUAAAACCCAAAAAAAGAAAAAAGCGAAAAAGAAAAGAUCCUAACUUUGUCCUGAUCUGAAACUCUCAAAUGGUUUUAACUUUAGGAUUAGAAUGUUGAGAGGUUGAAGAAUAGAGAAGGGUACUUUGGCUUCUCCAGAGGAAUGUAGUUGGAGUUUGUGACUCUUCUCUUUUCAGUUUAG
rnacentral:lncRNA from 1 species